rnacentral:rRNA from 1 species
UGAACAACCUGCCCGAGCGAGGGGGAUAGCCGGCCCAACGGCCGGGUAAUACCGCAUAUGCUCACAGUGCCUUAUGGCGCAGUGAGGAAACCUUCGGGGCGCUCGGGAGGGGUUCGCGACCUAUCAGCUAGUUGGUGGGGUAAUGGCCUACCAAGGCAACGACGGGUANCUGGUCUAAGAGGAUGGCCAGCCACAGUUGGGACUGCGACACGGCCCAGACCUCCGUACGGGAGCAGNAGGU